ACCCACCUCUCUCCUUGCAUCGCUUCUUAAAGUCCUGAAGAGGUGAGUCCGGGAGGAGAGCGGACCCAGAUAAGAAAGCGUUGCAGUGAACUAGGUCACUCCUUGAAGGUGGCUUCUCUCCCAGAGGACCCUGGAGUUCCCCGAACGAGUUUCUCACUUUAUUAGGAGUCCCCGGGAGGGCCGGGCGCAGGCUGGACCUGCGGCUCCGCACGCGUCACUGCAAUACAUGCCUUGGUUCUGUACUGCCGCGGGGACAGCCUGACCGGAUCAUGAACGCCCCGAGUGCCUUCCGAGAAGGUGACUCAGCGACACGCUCACGGGUGGAGAAUCUCCCGGAAACAACCAACCAACCAAAAAUAUAAAAUAAUAUAAAAUGAGGAGUUGGAGGGAGCAAGAACGUCAUCGCCCACCCCCGGUUCCGCGGCGCGUGGCCACCAAGAUCUGGUCCUGCAUCCGCCCCCAUCCCCGGCUUCCCGAACCUCACAGCCCAGGAAUCCAGCGCGGACAAGGCGAGCAGCUCUGCAGCCGCAGUGCCGCGGUCACGCGCUGCGGGGACGACGCGAGCCGCGGUGGGAGGAGGGGGCUCUGCGGGGAGGCCAGUCCCUCUAAGGCUCGCUCCCUUGUCUACCCUGUCCCUCCCCUUCCCAGAGACCUAGGAUCCAGAUCUGGCGUUAGUAUCUAGCAGACUCAGAGAGGAGGCUAUUCUCCCCGAGAUUUUGAGCUUGGAGGGGGCUGGCAGCCCAGACUGUAGGAAACACCCUCUUCUGCUCUCCCACAGCUUGGGAAGGAGUGUCUAUCAAGCCCGAAAAGCAAGUCAUUAGCAGCUAAAGAGGAGAAACUGAGGCACGGGGAAGGAAAGAUCAGUCCGUGUGUAAAUUCACACUCAUAAGGCCGACCUGGAACAGGGUCUCGCUUUUCUUUGAGUCUCGGGGCUGGAACUUCUCACACUCUGCGGGCGAGCGUGGGGCAAAGUUGACUGGAAACUCAAUCCGUGAGAAAGAGCAGAGCAGCCCACAGGGCAUUUUAUACUUGAGCCUCGGGGCCGGUUCCCUUUCUGCUCGGAAGAGACCCAGUGGGAGGGGGGUUCCAGUCUGGCCCUGGUUCCAGUCCGCACAAUGGCUCCUCUGUGUCCGCGGCCGCCUCAUCCUCUGGCCUCCUCACCUCUCUCGUUCUUGUUCACCUCCCCCAUCCCGGGCCGACUUUCUAGACCCUUUCCCUUCCUAAAGAACUCUAUCCUAUCUCCAGAAGCCGUCAAACAGCACCCCUGGCCCUGGAGCUGGGGGGAAUGGA
rnacentral:lncRNA from 1 species